CCUACGGGAGGCAGCAGUGAGGAAUAUUGGUCAAUGGACGAGAGUCUGAACCAGCCAAGUCGCGUGAAGGAUGACUGCCCUAUGGGUUGUAAACUUCUUUUAUAUGGGAAUAAAAUGUUCCACGUGUGGGAUUUUGUAUGUACCAUAUGAAUAAGGAUCGGCUAACACCGUGCCAGCAGCCGCGGUAAUACGGGGGAUCCGAGCGUUUUCCGGAUUUAGUGGGUUUAAAGGGAGCGUAGGUGGAUUGUUAAGUCAGUUGUGAAAGUUUGCGGCUCAACCGUAAAAUUGCAGUUGAAACUGGCAGUCUUGAGUACAGUAGAGGUGGGCGGAAUUCGUGGUGUAGCGGUGAAAUGCUUAGAUAUCACGAAGAACUCCGAUUGCGAAGGCAGCUCACUGGACUGCAACUGACACUGAGGCUCGAAAGUGUGGGUAUCAAACAGGAUUAGAUACCCGAGUAGUC
rnacentral:rRNA from 1 species